CCCGUGUUGAUGCAUUCUCUAGCUAUGCUCCUCCAGACUGCGUCACGGUUAACGAAAGUGUGAAUUUUCUUGCAAACUUGGGACAACCGGCUCAAAGACUUGCAGUCCAAAUAGUAGAGAACGAGACGGUGAGCAGGGAGCCGAUGCAGGAAGCCAUUACAGGGACUGGCGGCGGUCACGUGACUCGCGCCGGUGGCUCGCGGAAGGCGGCCGGGCAUGCGGAACGGAGCCUUUGCAUAAUGCACGGCAAUAACCUCUCGAUUUAUUGUUUCUCUGUAUUAGAGAAGAGGCAGACAUCGGCUAAUAUUAAACUGUCUGGAAAACUA